UACGUAGGGGUGCAAGCGUUGUCCGGAAUUAUUGGGCGUAAAGAGCUCGUAGGCGGUUUGUUGCGUUCGGCUGUGAAAACCUGAGGCUCAACCUCAGGCCUGUAGUCGAUACGAGCAGACUAGAGUGUUGCAGGGGGAGACUGGAAUUCCUGGUGUAGCGGUGAAAUGCGCAGAUAUCAGGAGGAACACCGGUGGCGAAGGCGGGUCUCUGGGCAACACUGACGUGAGGAGCGAAAGCGUGGGGAGCAACAGG
rnacentral:rRNA from 1 species